rnacentral:rRNA from 1 species
GGGAUUUGGCAUGGGCGCAGCCUGNCCAGCAAUGCCGCGUGAGUGAUGAAGGCCUUAGGGUUGUAAAGCUCUUUCGGCGGGGACGAUGAUGACGGUACCCGCAGAAGAAGCCCCGGCUAACUUCGUGCCAGCAGCCGCGGUAAUACGAAGGGGGCAAGCGUUGUUCGGAAUUACUUGGGCGUAAAGGGCGCGUAGGCGGCUCUGAAAGUCAGACGUGAAAGCCCCGGGCUUAACCUGGGAAUUGCGUUUGAUACUCCGGGGCUCGAGUUCGGGAGAGGAGAGUGGAAUUCCCAGUGUAGAGGUGAAAUUCGUAGAUAUUGGGAAGAACAUCAGUGGCGAAGGCGGCUCUCUGGACCGAUACUGACGCUGAGGCGCGAAAGCGUGGGGAGCAAACAGGAUUAGAUACCCUGGUAGUCCACGCCGUAAACGAUGUGCGCUAGACGUUGGGAAACUUAGUUUCUCGGUGUCGCAGCUAACGCGAUAAGCGCACCGCCUGGGGAGUACGGCCGCAAGGUUAAAACUCAAAGAAAUUGACGGA